rnacentral:rRNA from 1 species
UACGAAGGGGGCUAGCGUUGUUCGGAAUUACUGGGCGUAAAGGGUGCGUAGGUGGCUUAGUACGUCAGGAGUGAAAUCCCCAGGCUCAACCUGGGAAUUGCUUUUGAGACUACUAAGCUUGAGUACAGGAGAGGUGAGUGGAAUUCCCAGUGUAGAGGUAAAAUUCGUAGAUAUUGGGAGGAACACCAGUGGCGAAGGCGGCUCACUGGCCUGUAACUGACACUGAGGCACGAAAGCGUGGGGAGCAAACAGG